UAUAAGUAGGCACAUUGGGACGCAGCAUUUGUUUGUUAUACUUCAUAGUGUAAAAGCACACAAAGCACAGCGGCCAUUUUGCAGCAGAGAGAUUGCAUGUUUCUUUCAUCUUCUUUCAAUCUGUUGUGUAAAACCCCUAAGAAGCUUUGCUUAUCUGCUCCUCCUUCAGUGAAGCUCCUCCCACAACAAUCACACCUUCAGUGAAGCUCCUCCCACUGCAGUUCAUCAAUAAAUGCUGGAAUAUUCCCAUCAGUCUACAAGUGAGGACGAGCAUCAGAGCAUCAGGAAGAAGAGAAAUCUGCAGAGACAGAGUUUAUUGAAGGACAGAGAGAACAUGAGAGAUCCAGAACCCUGCAGAAUGAAACACACUGAAGAACAAACAGGUCUAAUGGAGGAGAAAAAACUUACUCACCGACUGAAAGUAUUUCUUUACUGAAAAGAAGAGACAAGAAAAGUUUCACCUGCUCUCAGUGUGGAAAGAGUUUCACAAACAAACAGAAUCUCAAUGUUCACAUGAGGAUCCACACUGGAGAGAAACCGUUCACAUGUGAUCAGUGUGAGAAGAGUUUCACACAAUCAUCAAAGCUUAAGGAGCACAUGAGCAUCCACACU